AUGUAGGUAGGGCUGACAGGACAACUAUGAAUUAAGUACCAGUUCUUUUAAAAAGGACUAUCUUGACUUGGGCCUUGGAGGAAUGAAGGUGGUGGUCUUGGUGAGCAGCGGAAGGAAUCAGAAAUUCAGAUAUUCCUUAAAUAAGAAUUUAUUGACUCUUAAAUAAUUUUGCUUAUAUACAUAAAAAAAACCCUCAAAAUCAGCAUGUACUUUUGUUUUUGGCUCGAAGUUUUUCUAGUGUUUUCUGUGGAAAAAAAUAAAAAUUUGUUACAAUUGGUUCAUCUUA